CGUAGGGUGCGAGCGUUGUCCGGAUUUAUUGGGCGUAAAGAGCUCGUAGGUGGUUUGUUGCGUCGGGAGUGAAACACACGGCUUAACUGUGUGCUUGCUUUCGAUACGGGCAGACUUGAGGAAGGUAGGGGAGAACGGAAUUCCUGGUGGAGCGGUGGAAUGCGCAGAUAUCAGGAGGAACACCGGUGGCGAAGGCGGUUCUCUGGACCUUUCCUGACGCUGAGGAGCGAAAGCGUGGGGAGCAAACAGGCUU
rnacentral:rRNA from 1 species